UACGUAGGGUGCGAGCGUUAAUCGGAAUUACUGGGCGUAAAGCGUGCGCAGGCGGCGCGUUAAGACAGGUGUGAAAGCCCCGGGCUCAACCUGGGAAUUGCGAUGGAGACUGCAAGGCUUGAAUCUGGCAGAGGGGGGUAGAAUUCCACGUGUAGCAGUGAAAUGCGUAGAGAUGUGGAGGAACACCGAUGGCGAAGGCAGCCCCCUGGGUCAAGAUUGACGCUCAUGCACGAAAGCGUGGGGAGCAAACAGG
rnacentral:rRNA from 1 species